rnacentral:rRNA from 1 species
GUCUACAGCCAUACCACCCUGAACACACCCAAUCUCGUCUAAUCUGGGAAGCUAAGAAGUAAGAAGUUGCAGUAGACC